AACAUCAAGAUGGAAAAGUGGGGAGCAUUCCGCACAUAGGGCACUGCCAGUACAAAGACACGAAUAUGGGAGAUGGAGUGAAUUGUUCAAGGAACUGAUUAAAAUCGGGGACCAUUACCAGCCGCUGCUCAGACUCCAUUGGCCAUAAAGCGUAGAGGAUCC
rnacentral:lncRNA from 1 species